rnacentral:lncRNA from 1 species
UUAAGUUUAGUCGUUCAAAAGCAUGUCCAUAUAUUAGAAUAAAGAAACUAUUAUUGUUCAAAGGUUAAAAAACAAUUUAAUAAAUGCACAUCUUAGCUUGUGAAUUAUGUAUCUUGUGACAAGCUAGUGUACCUUUAUGGGCCAAUGCUUACCAUAUAUUGGCAUGGUAUAACAUAAUAAAUCAACCAUGCAGCCCCUAGCCAAGUAAGGCACAUGCACGAUAUUUUGGGGGUUGCCAAGUUGCAAUCAAGGGAACAAGUAGGCAUCAAAAUUCAUGUCCAGCAUGAUGUAAAAUCAAUUUUGAUUCAACCAAAGCCCAUGGCCCAACCUUGUGGGUCUGUUUCAGGUCUUAAACCUUCUACUCGACCGCACUCUACAAGGGCCACUACGAACUGGAUCAGCAGCAGUAGAUUUCAUUCUAUAUGAACUGGAUCAACUGCAGUAAAUUUCAUCUACUCACCAAAAGAUAGUUCAAAACAUAAGAGUCUGAUCUGCAAAUGCCAAAGCUAAGUGAAGCAUAAACAGAAAUUGAUCCAACUAUAACCUGAAUAUCUUCACUAUGUGCUCAAUUUUGGGUCCAAAUCAACACUAACCAACCAAUUCUGGUCAAGUAUAACCAAUGCCAUAAUCAAGUCGUGGCUGACCCAUUAAACUUGCAGUCUAUUGGUAGUUAAGUCAUUUCAUGUUAGGUCCAUGCAACGGAUAGUGCUUN